GACGAACGCUGGCGGCGUGCUUAACACAUGCAAGUCGAGCGAUGAUGUUCCUUCGGGAACUGAUUAGCGGCGGACGGGUGAGUAACACGUGGGUAACCUGCCUCAAAGUGGGGGAUAGCCUUCCGAAAGGAAGAUUAAUACCGCAUAAUAUCUUUUCACCGCAUGGUGUAUAGAUUAAAGGAGCAAUCCGCUUUGAGAUGGACCCGCGGCGCAUUAGCUAGUUGGUGAGGUAGUGGCUCACCAAGGCGACGAUGCGUAGCCGACCUGAGAGGGUGACCGGCCACAUUGGGACUGAGACACGGCCCAAACUCCUACGGGAGCAG
rnacentral:rRNA from 1 species